UCCGUAGGCGGGCGAUUAAGUCAGAGGUGAAAUCCCACAGCUUAACUGUGGAACUGCCUUUGAUACUGGUCGUCUUGAGUUAUAGUGAAGUAGAUAGAAUAUGUAGUGUAGCGGUGAAAUGCAUAGAUAUUACAUAGAAUACCGAUUGCGAAGGCAGUCUACUAACUGUAUACUGACGCUAAUGGACGAAAGCGUGGGGAGCGAACCGGAUUAGAUACCCGCGUAGUCC
rnacentral:rRNA from 1 species